CCUACGGGUGGCAGCAGUGGGGAAUAUUGGGCAAUGGAGGAAACUCUGACCCAGCAACGCCGCGUGAAUGCUGCAGGUCUUCGGAUUGUAAAGUUCUUUUCUAAGGGAAGCAGAAAGUGACGGUACCUUAGGAAUAAGCCUCGGCUAACUACGUGCCUGCAGCCGCGGUAAUCCGUAGGAGGCAAGCGUUAUCCGGAAUGACUGGGCGUACAGGGUGCGUAGGUGGUUUGACAAGUUGGUAGCGUAACUCAGGGGGUCAACCUCGGCACGACUACCAAAACUGUCGGACGUGAGUGCAGGAGGGGCAAAGGGGAUUCCUAGUGUAGCGGUGGAAUGCGUAGAUAUUAGGAAGAACACCAGUGGCGAAGGCGAUUUGCUGGACUGUAACUGACACUGAGGCACGAAAGCGUGGGGAGCAAACAGGAUUAGAUACCCUUGUAGUC
rnacentral:rRNA from 1 species